UGAUCCUUUUAAUAUAUUGUUGAAUUCAGUUUGCUAAUAGCUUCUUGAGGAUUUUUUCAUUUAUGUUCAUUAAGGAUAUUAGCCUGUAAUUUUCUUUUUUGUGGUGUCCUUGCCUGAUUUUGGUAUCAGGAUAAUGCUGACCCUGUAAAAUGAGUUUGGAAGCUUUCCAUCCUCUUCAAUUUUUUGGAAAAUUUGAGAAAGACAAGUAUUAAUUCUUGUUUCAAUGUUUGGUAGAAUUCACCAGUAAAGCCAUCUGAUCAUGGACUUUUAUUUGCUGGGAGGUUUUUGAUUACUGAUCCAAUUUCCACACUAGUAAUUAGUCUAUUCAGAUUUUCUAUUUCUUCGUGAUUCAAUCUUGGAAGAUUGUAUGUUCCUAGGAAUUUAUCUAUUUCUCCUAGGUUGUUUGAUUUGUUGGAGUAUAAUUGCUCAUAGACGUCUCUUGUGAUCCUUUGUAUUUCUGUGGUAUCAGUUGUAACUUCUCUUUCAUUUCUGAUUUUGUUUAUUUGAGCUCUCUUUUUUUCUUGGUUAAUCUAGCUAAACGUUUGUCAAUUUUGUUUAUCUUUUCAACCAAUCAGCUCUAAGUUUCAUUGAUCUUUUCUAUUAUCUUUUUAGUCUCUAUUUCAUUUAUUUACUCCCUGAUUUUUAUUAUUUCCUUGUAGUAACUUUGGGCUUCAUUUGUUCUUCUUUUUCCAGUUCCCUUGGGUGUAAACUUAGAUUGUUAUUUGAGAUUUUUUCCUUGUGUGUUGAGGUAGGCCUGUAUUGCUAUGAACUUCCCUCUUAGAGUCACUUUUGCUGCAUCUCAUAGAUUUUACAUUGUACUUCCAUUUUUAUUUGUCUUUAGUAUUUUUCACUUUCUUCUUUGAUUUAUUUGAUGACUCAUGGUUGUUCAGUAGUAUGUUGUUUAACCUCCACAUUUUUGUUAUUUUUUCCUGUUGUAAUUGAUUUCUAGUUUCAUACCAUUAUGGUUGGAAAAGGUGCUUGAUAGGAUUUCAAUCUUCUUGAAUUUAUUGAGACUUAUUUUGGUUCCAAACAUAUGGCCUAUCGUUGAGAAUGUUCCAUGUGCACCUGAGAAAAAUGUGUAUUCUGAUGCUUUUGGAUGGAGUGUUUUGUAUGUAUCUAUUAAGUCCAUCUGGUCUAAUGUGUCAUUUAAGGUCGAUGUUUCCUUGUUGAUUUUCUGUCUGGAUGAUCUAUCCAUUCACACAAGCAGAGUGUUAAAGUCUCCUACUAUUACUGUAUUGCUGUCAAUCUCUCCCUUUAGGUCUGUUAGUAUUUGCUUUAUAUAUAUUUUUGUGUUCUUAUGUUGGGUGCAUAUUUAUCUGUAAACGUUAUCACUUCUUACUGGAUCAACACCUUUAUCAUUAUGUAAUGCCCUUCUUUAUCUUUUAUUACAGUCUUUGUUUUAAAGUCUAUUCUAUAUGAUAUGAGUUUAGCUACAUAAGGUUUCUUUUCAUUUCCAUUUGCAUGGAAUUCCUUUCUCCAUUCCUUCAUUUUCCUUCACUUUCAGUCUGUGUGUGCCCUUACUUAUGAAGUGAGUCUCUUGUAAGCAGCAUAUAGAUGUCUUGUUUUUUAUCCAUUCAGUCAUUCUGAGUCUCUUUUUUACUUUUUUGCUGGGCAAUAUUGGUCCUGAGCUAAUAUCUGUUGCCAGUAGUCUUCUACUUUAUAUGUGGGUCACCACCACAGCAUGGUCAAUGAGUGAUGUAGGUUCAUGCCUGGGAUCCAAACCUAUGAACCCGGGCUACCGAAGUGGAACACACUGAACUUAACCACGACACCAUGGAGCCAGCCCCAACUCUGUGUCUUUUGAUUGGAGAAUUCAGUCCAUUUACAUUUAAAGUAAUGGAGAAUUUAGUCCAUUUACAUUUAGAGUGAUUAUUGAUAGGUUUGUACUUAUUGCCAUUUUGUUAUUGUGUUAUGACUGUUUUAAUAGUUCCUCUCUUUUCCUUUCUUCUCAUUCUCUCUUCCCUUGUUGUUUGAUGGUUUUCUUUAGUGUUAUGUUUAUAUUCCUUUCUCAUUUUCUUUUGUGUAUUUACUGUAAGUUUUUGCUUUAUGGUUACUGUGAGGUUCACAUAUAAUAUCCUAUGUAUAUAAUGGUCUAUUUUAUGUUGAUAGCAACUGAUAUUUGAACACAUUCUAAAACUUUACAUUCCCCUCUCCAUGUUUUAUAUUUUCCAUGUCCCCUCUUGCAUCUUUUUAUUUUAUGCAUCCCUUAACUGAUUAUUAUAGUUUUAGUUAAUUUCACUACUUUAUCUUAUAACAUUUAUACUUGCUUUAUAAGUGAUUGAUCCACUACAUUUAUUAUAUAUUUACCUUUUCCUAUGAGAUUUUUGCUUUCAUAUGUUUUCUUGUAAUUAACUAGUGCCAUUUCUGUUCAGGUUAAAGAAGUCCCUUUAACAUUUCUUGUAAGGCUGGUUUGAUGGUGUUGAACUUUGUUGGCUUCUAUUUAUCUGGAAAACUCUCAACCUCUCCUUCAAUUCUGAAUGGUAACCUCACCAGGUAAAGAAUUCUUGGUUGGAAGUUUUUUCCUCUCUGCACUUUGAAUAUGUCAUGCCACUCUCUUCUGACCUGCAAAUUUUCUGGUGAAAAAUCUGCUGAUAGCCUUAUGGGAUUUCCCUUCUAUAUAAUAAGUUGUUUUUCUCUUGCUACUUUAAAUAUUCUCUCUUUAUCUUUAAAUUUUACAAUUUUAAUUAUAAGAUGUCUUGGUAUGGAUCUCUUUGGGUUUACAUUAUUUGGAAUUCUCUGGGCUUCCUGGACCUGGAGAUCUGUUUCCUUCUCCAGAUUAAGGAAGUUCUUUGGUUUGGAACAUAUUCUGUUGUCUCCUCAUUUUGCCUCACUCUCUGUGUUUAUUUCUGUGUAUUAGCAAAUCAACUACUUCUCUCAGCCUUGAAGGAGCACCCUCGUUUGGGGGUUGUCAUGGGCCCAGAAGUGCAAUUUCCCCAGGCCACCAGAGCUGAGCAAUCAAGGGGCAUCCCCUGUGUGGGUUGUGCACACCCUCCUGCUGUGGAAGGGCUGUGUCUGCAGCAAGUAUGUGGGCAUGACUCUCAGUGGGACACUCCCACCAGCACUAGUAGGUUAGAGAGAGAGUUCCUAAAUGUCACCUGCCAAUGCAAGCAUUAGCAAGGUAGAAUGAGGUUGCAAAAAUGGUGCCCACCAGUGUCUCCAUCCCUGGAGAGUUUCCUCAACAUUUUUUCCCUCAACAGUUUCCUGCCUUUCCAGCAGACACUUUAAGAUUAGUAAGUGGGUCUCCUUCAUAUAUGGUCUAGGUGCUUUUCAAACUGGUGUUUUUGCAUUGGGUCCUGAGAUGAGUGACUCUAUACAUGAGCCCUUUAAGAGUGAGUUCUCUGUUCACUACAGUUCUAUGGUUUUCCUGGAUGUAAUCCCCACUGGUUUUCAAAGUUAGGCAUUUUGGGGGCUCAUCUCUCUUGUGCACAAUCUAAAAGUUGGGGUCCCUGAUGUGGAGCACAAACCCCUGGCUCUUCAGGGAAAAGUUCCAUAUUUUUUGGAUCCCUCCUGAUUGUGGAUUCCUGUGCCUGGGGUGUUUUUUUGGCUUUGGUGAGACUAUUUCUCUGCCUCUCCUGCUCAUCUCAAUGCUGUCCCUUUAUCCUUUGUUGUGGAGGCUCUGUUUAUCUAGUUUUCAGAGGAAAUUAUUCUGCAUGUAGCUGUAGAUUUAUUGUGUCUUUGGGAGGAGAUGAGUUCGUGAUCUUCCUAUGCCACCAUUUUGAACCCCCUUCAGUCCAACCCAUAUUUCUUAUCUCACAAUUUCUGUAGAUCAGGAGUCUGGCAAGUCACAGGGCCCACACACUCAAUAAAGGGAGGUUACAUAAAGGCAUGGCCACAAGGAGACAAACAUCAGGAGGUAGGAAUUACUGGGGGUCACUUUAGGGCCUGUCCACCACACCAAGUUUCUUAAACUCUAGCUACACACUAAAACUCUGAAAUAAUUACCUUACAUGACUGUAAAAAUUGUCUUCAGCACUUCUCCUAGAUCUGGGUUCUGGGUUCAGUGUCUUGGUAUGUCAUUAGCAUUACCUUGUACCAUCGUCUUUCAACAAUAUAAUCCUGAGCAGUCUGUAUACAAGUACAAACUAGACCAGAAGACACUGGGUCUGCAAGGCUUUGCCAGAGCCCAUAAGUCAGCCCUGCUUCUGAAAGCUAGGUGGUGAGAGGGAAUACCAGAAGGGCCCAAUCAAUUCAUUAAAUCUUUACUACCGUAGGGUUACCAUUGAACAUUAUUGCUUCUGUAGUGACGGUGCAAUACAUAGUUCAGGUCUUUGGGCAAACUAUGCUGGUGCUUCAUAUUUAAGCCCCAAGAUUAUAGCUUUCUGUUACUGUUUCUACAGUCAUAAACCAGGACAAUUGUAGCCUUCCCUCCUUAAGGAAUCUCAUUUAGCCCGGGUCAACCAUAUGGUCUCUCUCUUCCCUCCCAGUGAAUUCCCUUUGGGGCUCUGGGAUAGCAGUAGAAUUUAGUCAGGGCGACUACUCUCCACUAAACAGUUUUCUUAAUUUCCAAUCUCAGGGAAAAGUCGUUGAGAGUUUGCCUCCUUCAUACAUUAAGGGUUCUUUGUGCAAAUUGGUGCACCUACUUCUGAGGUUCUGAUUCCUAAGAGUUAGGUGCAGCCCUACUAAAUCUAACAGAAGAUUUGUUUGGUUACAAUGGCUUUUUGCGUUAUAUUUGCAUAACUGUGCAACUGCACAGAGUAGAGAAGAAUGGCUGUAAGAUGACUUUUUUACCUCAGCCUAAAGAGAGAAGCAGCUGGUACUCUGCUCAGUAAAACAAAUUAGAGCCCUGCCUCACCAGGCAUUCCAGGCACCCCGUUACACUGGUAUUUUAUUAUACACGUCUUCAAAGCAGUCUUUAAGUACUGAAUCUUUAUCAAUUGAAUUCUAUGGGAAGUUUUACUCUUCUCCAUUAUGCUCUGCCAAAUGCUGACUGGAGCUGUGUGAUGCUACAAUUCUCUGUCAUUUCAUCCCCGGAAAUCUUUGUCUGCUUUCUUUAUACAUGCUAAGGCUAUAGGAACAGUGUUUUAAGGUCUCUUUGUUGGGAAAAGCCCAAACUGAAAACAGCUGCCCCACUGGGCAGAAACAAGGAGGCCAUGUCAUUUCUUAUAUAGUGCAUUAAACAGUCAUUCCAGGUGUUACUGUUUAACUCUUUCAUAGUCCAAAUAUCAUGUGGAUUUUACAAGCACAUGGGACUUUUGAGAUUUUUCUAGGGCCGUUAACAGCUAAUAAGUACAAGAACAUAGUGACUGGAAGUUGGGUAAAAAUUUUUCCUGCUUUGCUAUUUAUACUUUGCUUUCUACUUAUGCCUCUCCCUGAAAACUCAUAGACACAAAUUUUUGAUCAACUUUUCUCUGUUUAAAUCUAUUUAUAAACACAUGAAUGUUGAUAGCUUUUGAGUACUGAAUUUAGGUGAAUUUAUAUUUCAGAACAAAAAUUAACUGAUAUCUUCCUGGACAUUUUAUUACAGCAGAGGCAAAAAUCUAGUACCUUGAGAUGAAGAUAAAAAAGGAUAGGGAAGUGGGACAAGCUUCUGAGUUUGAGACGUCAUCUCUUUCCUGCCUCUGCAUGCUAGGAGUUGGAACAAGUAUUUAUCAAGACACAUCGCUAUAUGCUGCCAUUCUACUGGAUUUAGUAGACUACGAAAUAAUCCUUAUUCAAAAUGGAGGAAAGGAUGAUAAAAUUUAAGUAAAAGGACAACAAUAAAACAAAACAAAGCAAGCUCCAAGUGACCUCUCAGUAUUCACAUCCUUGUGUGCACUUCUCCCAUAUGGAAUCAUGGCUGGUCAAGAUUAAUAGAAUACUGUGUGUGACUUCUGAGGCUAUUGUCAUAAAAAGGCACUACAGUUUCUGCCUUGAUCUCUUGGACUGCUUGCUCUGGGGAAAACCAACCUCCAUGUUGUGAAGACACACAAAGAGUUCCUUGGGGAAAUCCAUCUGGAGAGGAAACAACUUGUCCACAUCAACUUGUGAGCCAUGUGAGGGGGCCACCAUGGAGGUGGAUCGCCAGCCUCAGCCAGGCCUUUGGAGAUCAUAGCCCCAGCUGAUGUCUGACUGCAACCUUAAGAUCCUGUGCUAGAACAUGCAACCCAGCCUUUUCUAAAUUCCUGGAUGAAAUGAUGAGAGAAAUACAUCAUUAUUGAUACAUAUUAUUGAUAUUUUAAACCACUACAUUUUGGGGUACUUUGCUACACAGCUAUAGAUAACUAAUACAAGGCUCUUACAUCAUGAGGUCAGCAAAACCUCUCUGAAGAGAUAGUAUUUGCUAUGACCUGAACAAGGAAUAACCAGCUGUUUGACCCUUGGGGAGUUCAGUUUUCCAGGCAGAAGCAGUAGCCAAAAGGAAGUUGGAAGGAAAGUGAGUGUGUGCAGAGCAUAAUGAGUGGGAUUGGGGGAGGAGGGUGUGGGGAGAGGUAUGUAGGAGCUGGGUUCUUUAAAGUAGUGCAGGUCAUGGCAAGGAAUUUGGAUGUUUUCCCUAAGUGCAAUAGGAGUUAUUAAAAAGUGUUAAUCAUGUUAGUGAUGUGAGGUAAGAAUGGGAGGUAAAGAAAUACUUCUUGAUAUACCCACUCAAGAAUUUUUGCUGUGACAGAGGAGCAGAUAUAGGGUCAAGUGAGGCUUUGUUCUUUUCUAAAAUGGGGACAAGUAAGACCUAUUUGUAUGCUGAGGGAAAUGGUUUUAGAGUGAGGGAGAUAUUAGUGGUGCAGGAGAGCAAACGGAUAAUUGCAGGACAAUUGUUCUUAAAUAGGCAAGAGGGAUGAAUUCAGAUGACAACAAGUGAGGCUGUUCCUCAGUGGGAGCAAAGACAGAGAGCAAGCCAAGUACUUGGGGACAUUGGCAGUUAGACUGGUGAAUCUGUGAAAAUGAGGUGAUUUUGUCUGAUUGCAUCUAUUUUCUUAAUAAAAUGUUUGCUUUGAUUAUAAGUUAAAAGUGAGGAUAUAGGAGGUGUGAAGAAAGCUGAAGUAGAUAUUUGUGUUGCGUGUCUGAAUAAGUGGAACACUCAAUUGGAAUUUCUAUUGCUUUCCACUUCUAGAGAAAACAACAACAAAAACAAGAAAGAGAAAAACAAGUUGAUAUGAGUUAUUUAGUCCAAAAAGGUAUAGCUGGUGGCAAAGGAGGAUAAAAGGGAGAGGAGCGUUUGAGCUGAGAGAGAAAUGAUCUUAUUUUAUUCCCCUAGAAUUCUAGAAUUUUAGAGUUAGAGGGAAGCUUAGAUUCAUAUAUUUAGGCAAAGGCACACCCUUUGUAAUUUUUCUUUGUCCUUUUUGUUCGUGUUUGGUUGACCCAGGAAAUUAUAUUUAUAAAAUAAACUGAUGAUUUCUGUUUUUAUCAUCAGUGAAAUCAACAUGAUCAUAACUAAAAACUUGAGACUUUCACUCCAACGAGAGGCAUCAAUGAUUAUUUGAUGGGAUUUAUUCAUUCAGCAAAAUCGAUUAAAUGCCUACUUUGUUUACUAUAGUGUUCUAGGUCUAGGUGAUAGGAAACAAUGUCGAGUGAGUAAGAUAAGCUCUCAGCCCUGCUAGGUCCUACUCCAGCCUUCAUCUACCAUGUAGAUAAUCAGGCAUGUUUUCAGUCUUUCAGCUCCAUGAAACACUUCUGCUAUAAAACAUGCCUCUAAGGCACACCUGGAGACAGUAUAGUGUAAUGUUCAGAGGCCUGACCAGGUUUGAAUCCCUUAAACUCUCUGCCUUGUUUCCUCCCCCGUACAGCAGGCACAAUAAUAGAGCACACGUCAUUCAGUUCCUGAGAUAAUUAAAUGAACUUUGACAUACAGAAUGCUUAGUGCAGAGCCUGGUACAUAAUGAGUGUUAUAUAAGUGAUUCUUAUCGAUUAAUAUAAAGGUGUCUUCUUCAUGUAAAGGGGAAAGACAGUCUUCAAGUAAAGUUUACUUUUAGUUUAAACCAGACAUAAUUUGGAAACUAAAUAGUCUGGCAUAACCCCAUCUCCAUUCACACAAUUCUAAAGCAAGUGUGUGUGUGUGUGUGUGUGUGUGUGUAUGAGUAUAUAUUUGCACACCCUGCAACUCCUGUGGAAAUUAUGUGUUCAUGAGAGGAUCAGACAUGGAUUCUGACAUUACUUUCAUUCUGAUGAAGCUUAUUUUCAUACAACAAUUUUAGAACUCUAUUUUCCAACUUUAUACUAAAAUUUAAGUUAGUGCUGGAACUAAAUGUGUCAAAUCAAAAUCAAAUAACCCCCACAAUCAACCAUUGAGUAACUGAAUAUAUAUAUUAUUCUACAAAAGCAAGUCAUAUGAACAUCUGGAAGCCUCCUCAUUAACGCCAUCCUUCCAAGUAAAAUAAAUGCUUCAGCCAUAUUUAUGCAUUUACAAUCCUCCCCUGACCUCAGGAUGAACAGUUAUAAGUUGUUUCCAUUGAAGCCUGUACAGAUCAAUUAUUUAGCUUUUUGUGGGUUUCUUUUAAACACAAUUACCUGGAGGAAGAAAGAUGAGUUUAUGAAAGCUUCUAAGGAAUUUAUGCAAAAAAGAAAAAAAUGGUGCCCAGGUUGCUUUUCAUUUUCAGAAGGUUUUUUCCCUCCAUAUUUAAAGACUGCAUUAUGCAGUCAUUCAUUCUGUAAAUUAAACCUUUUGAUUCCUAGUAACAUUAUGCAAAGCUAGCUUAUUGUACCUAUUUGCAAAUACACUAUAUUAGUGAAUGCUUUCUUUUUCUUUGCCCAAAUUACCAAGAUGUGUCACAACAUACAAAGGACAUUUUAAAUGCUACCAAAAUAGAAAGUUUUGUGUAAGCUAUGAUAAGCACAAUAUACAGCACAGUCACUCCAAGUGCCCAAAGACACGUGGAAUUACAAUAUGAAAAAAAAAGAAGGCACUCUGAAAAAGUUAAAAGCACAAUAUGUGAAUAUCACGGAAAAGUCACUCAAGGGCACUUAAUCAUUGAAACACAACUACUGGAUGUGAGGGAAGUUGAUGAAAAUAGACUUGGGAGAAUUUUUCCCAAUCUCACCCUUUUCUUGUUCCAAACGUAACUGUCAACACUUCAUGUUCCCUGGAACACCCUAAGGUGGGCAAGAGAUUUGAUGGAACAGAUCCUCGGAAACAGAGCAGAGGAAAUGCGGCAUAGCUGAGUUACUUAGAUAUUACAGAUUGUUUUGUCUCUCUAUUUUGAACUGUGACUCUGACAUAUUAAGCUUUCCUCCUGUGUUCCCUUCAUUCUACAACAACUGUAUUUACAUGGGACACACAAAAUCUGAGUGAUAGGACAGAACCCGAGGAGAAGGGAUGGAAUCUACAUAGCUAAGAUGUUUCCAUAUGUCCUUAUCUAGUCUUUAACCACUGUCUUUAGUAAAUAAAAAAUGAAAGUUAAAAAAAAAAGACUUGAGAAAGCCUCAUGCUAUUUGUGCAUAGGGAAUGGAGGUUUGCAAGGGGCCAAGAGAUCAGGGAGGAGAAGAAAAAGGGAACUGAGUGUGGAAAAGAAAAGAAAGCUCUUUCUUCUGAGAAUUUGAGAAGAAAGUAGAUGCAGGGGAGGAAGACAUUUCCUCUACCCGCUGUGGGUUCGUCUGACCAGAGAACGAAUUAAAUACGCAUGAGGCAGAAUAGCAGGAGAAAAUUAAACAAAGCUUUAUAACAUGUAUACAUGGGAGAGGCUCAGGCAAGCUGAGCAACUCACCAAAAUGGCUGAAGCCCCCACCUUAAAUAUCCUCCUCAGCUAAAGACAAAGGAGGAUGUUGGGGGUGGAGGGGAAGUUGAUCAUGGGAGAUUACCACACAAGUACAGUAAACAAAUGCAGAUUUGAGUCCUUGCCUUUGGCAUUGAUUAAGAGUUUCUAGAGAUAAGGUCAUUCCCCCUUCUUCCUGGUACAGAGAGGGAGACACCUUUAUAGAUGAAGAUUUCCUUUGCAAUGUAAAUGUAUCUUAACAAAGGGUAAGUAAAUUCUACUUUUCAGUUGCUUUCCUGUCUGCAGUUUAUUAAAAGUAACCAGCCCCAAAUAAUCCUCAUGCCAAAGAGACAUAUCUUGGGGUGGCCAAUUCCAGGCUCCCACAUAGACUUACAUUGUGUUCUCCAUUCUCAAGUGUUGUCCAUCUGAAAGUGUGUUGGUAGAAUCAAUGUCCUCUCAAACACACACACACACCAUGCAGACACAGAUAAAAUUUAUGAGAAAACAUUUAAUAAGUGUUAUCAGACAGCUAUUAGUAAAACCAAAACACUUUUCAAGCUCAAUAACUAUUUACUGUAAAAUUUUUAUGUUUAAGUAUUAUAAAUUAACUAUUAAGAGACAAAAUAAGAGAAACCUGGGCUAUUUAUCUGUGAAGAUGAGGAGACCACGGAACACUCUAACGUUCACUAUUGUUUUUCAUGUUACAUACGGAGUUUCUAUGUCUAUAAGGUUUGUCUUCAUAGGCGGUUCAUUCACUUGCUCUACAGUAUUUAUGGUUCCCUACUCUCUUGGAGCGCUCACAGCACCUCUCUCCCUCCUCUCCUCACCUCCUUAAACUCUCAGAGACAUUGGUGAGGUCCUCUUUUGAGAAGAAUGUGAGGAGAAGAUGUUUAAACUCAGAAUAUGAGAUUUACAUUAUACUUGGGAAUAGCGUGAUAGUAAAAAAUAUAAGUUCAUAAGCAAAUUACUGAUGGUUUUAGGAUCGUCAGAAUUUUUUUUUUACAGAUUGUGUAUGUGUGUGUGUGAUUUCGGUAUAGUUUAACAAUGAUAUUAUAAAUGUUCAAACUUAAUUUGGCCUUAAAAAGAUGUUUUUGUCUAUGGAGAAACAAAUAGUGUUUUGGGAUGAAAGUAGAUCCUAGGUAGAGGUGUUACUUGGGUUCUGCAAGUUGGCCUAGGGACCCUUAUCUUAAUGCACUUGUUCAAUGCUAACUUAAGGGAGAUGCACAAAUAAAUUUAUACCAGAAAAGCUGCCUUCGAUGAUAUAUAUACAAUUGAUGGAGAGAAGGCAAAUGAAAGAGAAAGAUUUUAGUCUCUGGGACACAGCUUGCCAAGAUUUUGGUCCCCAUAGGCCUGGGUGUGGGCUUGCAAGCCCUCCAGUGGCCAGAGCUGCCUCCCGGCCACCUCAAGCACCCCUGGCCAGUCUUCUUUGAUCUUUAGGGGUACCUAUCUGUUUACCUUAGAGUGCAGAGCGCAGUACAGAUAUUACCAUUUUAAGAUAGGAAAACAUUGCCCUAAGGAGCUAUGACUUCCUAGGUCGAGGAAUUGCUCUGCAUUUCUUUUUGUAAAGGAGUAGUCUUUGAUUGUACUCCUUGUCAUAUCUGGGCCUAUGUCUAUCUGUAUUUAUAUCUAUUCUACAAAUAUUUCUUGGACACACACAAUAUGCCAUACAGCACAAAAUAAUAAAAAUCCAAUUUUGAUGAAUGCUAUGCAGACCAGCAAAAUAGAAAAUGAAAACAUAAUUUGCAACAAACUGUGACUAGAAAUUUUGUCUAAUUUAUACAAUAUUGCUAUUUUCUAUGAAGUGAAUGUUUUGAUUUUUUUCCCCACAAAAUGCAUCCCUUCUUUCUUGAGCUGUAACAAGUUCAAUUUCCUUGCUCUUCUUCUUCUAAACGUGAAACUUUAUUCCUUGUCAGUGUCUAUGAAACUGGAGAACAGAAACUGGCUUAUCUGUUACUCUUAAUAUUAUUGAUUUACGAGAUUCUCAUCCUGGUAUUUCUAAGGAAAGAGCCAAAGUAUCCUGGUAUUUCUGUUUGCGAAGAUUCAAAAGCAAUGAAGCAAGCUAUUUCCCUUGAACGCUGUUAUACACGACAAAGGAGCUAACUGCUUAAUUCCAGGGGUCUGUUAUUAUUUGUAAACUGCUUCUUAAAUAAGGAUACUUCCAGAUGCCUCUUGCUCCAGAUGGUACCAUUUAACUGCCUGUGUUACUCAUGAGUGGUUUUCUGCUUUAGCUUUAAACAAAUACUUAACACAGCAAUUCUGUUAUCAAGAAUUCUCUCUUAAAAUUGGAACAAAAUCCUAAAGUGGUACAUGAAGUGGCAGCACAAGCAAUUUCUUUCAGCAUGGGACACAUGGGUUAAAAAUAAAUGAAGCAUGAAGGUAUCGGUAGGGAUGAAACAGAACUAUAGCCAAGUGGAAAGAGAAAAGCUCUCUGGGCUUCGUCUGAAGAGCUGAGUGCAAAUCCUUGCUCUGCUCCAUGUUAGCCUGGUGACCUCGACAUCUCUUUCAUAGGAUUUGUUUGAGGACUAAACAAGAUAAUUAAUAUUUUCCAACACUAUUUCUGAUGGAUGGUAAUACAUGUUACCAGUAAAAAAAAAGUUUCUAUGGUUGCAUCCAUUUGAGAAAUGUUAAGUUAAACCAAGAAAUAGGUUUCUUCAGUGAAAGACUUCUCAGUCUUUAAAAUGACUUUAAAAAGGACUUCUCAGUCAAUAUGUUUUGUGACUCUUGUGUCACUGUGAUUCCUAAACUGACUUGGCCCCCAGCCAGCACUCUUGUUGGAAAUAUAUUCAGUGGGACACAUUUUGGGAAUGCUACUCUGCUCUCUAAAGUACUGUUAAAAUGUAAGCUGUUACAAGUUUAUAUGUAACUGUAGACAGCAAUGUGGGAACUGCCUUUUACUCAUUUGUGUUCUGGAGACCUUUCCUAUCUGACUGUCAAAAUUAAUCCAUUAUUAAAUACAACAUUUUAAAGUAAAUUUAGUUAGCAAUCAUGAUCCUUGGUACAUCAGAUAUUUAAAAAUAAGCAAACAUAAAACAAAACAAAACAAUGAUAUAUUUAAGCCCACAGGUUCAAACAACACUGGUUGUUCUUUUCAGCUUUAUGUUUAAAAUCUCACCAGGUAUUAUGAUAAUAAUUUGACCAGAUGUUUGCCUCUUUCAUGGAAUUUUCACUCUUGAAUUUUAUUAGUAUGGCUUAAACUAAAGCUCUGUGAAAAAUUUAAUGCUAUUUUUGCAUUCCUUUUAGUAGUACUUGAAAAAUAUGAGCGUGUCAGCGAAACAGCCUAAGUACUGGAUACACCUCACGUUCAGAACCUAGGGGAUACCUGCUUACUCUGCGAUCUCUACAACUUACGUACCCUCCAGCCUCAGUUUUUUCAUAUAUAAAGUGGGUAUGGUACUACCUACCUUCCAGAAUAUUUGUGAAGCACAAAGAAGGAAAUCAUUAGAUGAAAGCUUCUGACAUGCAGCUGCUACUUUUGAAUGACAACAGAAAGUCGUGGAUUUGCGUAUUUACAUGAAGGCAUUCCUUGGGAAUUAGUGUACGACUACAAACGUCCAGUUUUUAAAAAUUAGAAACAGAUUAAUCCUUAUUAAAGCAGCUCUAAAUAAUGAUGCAGUUAAAUUUCAAUUUAUAUUGCAAAGAAUAAAACAAUAUCUAAUCUGUAUAUCUGCAUAUCUGCAUCUAUGGGAAUCUUCGAUUAAGUAUUUCUUUCUUAUUUCUCCUUUAUGCCCUUUUGCAUGCUUGUGAUUACUUAAAUCUUACACUGAGAUCUGAAUUUUAGUAGCUGUGCUCUUAAAAUUCAAAAACUACCUUAUUGCCUCAGUUUAUUUUACGUUUGUGAUGGUCUCAGGAAUAAUACAGAGUAUAUUAAUUAUUCUCAUUUUAAAAUUAUUCUCUGCAUCUUGGAUUAACGCUUUCUCCCACUUUUAGUGCCUGCCUCAUCAGUCUGCUGACCACUGGCUGUGUGGACCUCAUUGGGAUCAUUGAUUCAGGUUAUAGGGGCCUCUCCUGAGGUUGGGGGAGGAGAUUUACAGCUGCUUACUGUUUUAAGAUGUGUAAGGAGGUUAUCUGAGCUCAAGUAUUUGUCUACUACCAAAGGAAGUCACCUAAACAAAACACCAGCAGCCCCCUGUGUCUUCAGCAGUGAUGCCGGAGUCAAGCUUCCUUUUAGAAACCUGUCCUAAGGCUUUAUCCUAGAGACAGAUAUGCCGGCAAAUCUGAGCAUGGGGCUGGAGUGGCUGUCCUGUGCCCCUUGACUAAUUUACACCACUGAUUGCACCCACGUUCCUGCUUCUUAGGCUGGACUAUUCUGGAGUUCCGAUGGGAAUACUCACUAGGGAGCAAGCCUCUGUUGUCCCACAUUGUACUAAAGUUUACUCAGGUCUGUUAAGUGUUCCUAUCUGUCUCCUACUGUGUAGUAUAUUCAGAAGUUCUUUAACUUUCCGGCCAAUGCUACUAUGAACUUAUUCUAAUUUUCUAAUUGCUUCUAUUUCCCUUUAAUAGGAUUUUUGUGGGGGAGAAGGAGAGGUAAAGUCCUGUGCUCAUCACCCAUCUUGAAAUGGAAAACCCUAGAAUGAUUGUGUCUUUCUACUAUCAUCUUCUACUUUCUUUGAGUCUCUACAUGGUCUCAAUGAGAGCUUUGUUUUUCACUCUCCUUUUUAAACCUAUUUGACUAUAGCCACCAAUGAAUCUUAUUUCUCAGCUUUUGGCUUGGUUUAUUUCCUCUUCAGAGUUGAACAUGCAUCAUUCAUUCAGUCAGUCAUCAAAUAUUUGUUGAACGUGUCUUAGAUACCAGGUGAUGAAGAAAUACAGACACAGCCUUGCCAGCACAAAGGUAAGCUCCUUCUUUUCUGCAAACAUGGAGCAGAUUUUCUUAUUUUUUCCCAUGAGAAGAGUAGAUCUGUCUUUACCUUUCUGCUUAUUUAACCUAUUAGCACAGCAUAUGUCUAGCUUUUGUUUAAAAAAUGGCUUAUUCUUUGUAAGAUAAAAAUUUUCAUUCUAACUUGGCAACUGAAAAGAAGAAUAUUUAAGGUUAAAUAUUAAGCUUCAAAUACAACAGCAAAUUAAACUGACAUUUUAAUUUCACUGUCAAUACCGUAUAUGUCGUAGAGACCUUCUAAUAUAACUGUUGUCAUCAUGUAGCGUAUAACUGAUGGCUCUUAGUGCAAGUGGUUAUUUUAAAUUAAAUUAUCUGAAUUUAUUUUUUACAGGUCUCCCAAGGCUUGUAGAGUUAAAGUGCACUUUGCCCAUAUUAAAGAGGAACUUCCUGAUAUUAAAAUGGAAUGAGUUUCCAAGAUUGUUUGGAAUUCCUUCUCUGCAGAGCUUUCAAAACAAUCCAUCUUAUCGUGUGUCUUUGGUAAUUUAAAUGUGGUUGUGCUUGAAGGCCAGAGAUUAGGGUCCCUUUCAAUCUUAUGACCUGUGGGCAACUCAGGUUGUUGUAUCCAGUAAGUGAAGAGUUUGUGAAAAUGCGCAUAAAACUAUACUGCGCAUGUGCAAAUGCGUAUAGGGGAAGAGAGGGCUUGUUGGUCCUAGAGGUCUGUGUCUCUCAAACUGGGACGUGCAUGAGCCCAGGGGGACAGAGUGUCAUGUCAGUGUAUAUCUGAAGCUGCAGGAGACACAUGGUGCAUCUUCCUGAGAGGUCAAUAAUCCGAAAAAUAGUGCAGAAAAGCAUUUUGAAUUUUUAUUUUAUUUUUAUUAGAAUAAAUAUGGAUGUAUCAUUAAGUAGAAAUCACAAAUUCUUGCACUGACUGAAAAAAUAAGAUAGAAGUCUUAAACAAUUUGGACUACUUUGGAUUGUUCCUCCCGUGUCUGCCCAGGGUGCUCAUCCUCUCUCCUGCUGGACUUUGGUAGCGAUGGUCACUGGCUCCUCUGCAGGUAAAAACGUGUGACGUAAAACGCUGGUUUCAAUUCCUAAUUAUUAUAGCGUGAGUAACGUUUUUGAAUGCUAGUAGUUAAUUUAUCUAAGGAUUCAAGAAAAACUUGCUAUGAGACUAGCAGAUUAGAACUUAAUCUUUUAAAAUUUGAUAAAGGGGAGAUGUAAACCAGCCUCAAUAUACAUAUGUAAUUUGUUUUGACAGAUUAAGAUAUGAACAUCUGAUUGAAAGUAAAUGUCAAAAUGCAUCAAGCAUGCAAAAUUGUCCUUAGCACCUUUGUAUAUCGUGCUAUCUGUAGUUAGAUAACACCCUAACACCCAGAGGAUCCUCUUCCGCAUUCUGAUUUUACCCAGAUUCUCCUUUUUGUGAAUCUCUAAGUGAAUCUCAAGCCUUUCAAAGUUGAAUCUCUAAAUGGUACUAAAAUACUCUGGAAAUUGUGAAGAAGUUUGAGAUAAAGUGCAUGCAUAUUCAAAUUACUUAAAUGACAGCUUUAUUUUUAGUUAAUUUUCAUUUAUGGAUGCCUCUCAAUUUUCUAUCAAAACCUAGAUAUACAGAGCCAUGAAUUCUGGCUUUUUUCCCCCAUUUCUGGCAUCUAUUUUAGAGACCUCUGCAAAUAAAAGAAAUCUGUAAAUGUGGCUCUUCCUUGUUAACCUCACACCUUUUUUUUUCUCUGCGAAACAUGUCUAACACUUAAGUCCAGAGUCAGAGCCAGGGACAGACUCUGAGGAAAGCAUGGGCACACUAUUUUUCUUGCUUCUUUAGUUUCUCUUUUCCUCCUCUUUAGAAGACUGCUAGGGGAAAAGGUUUAGUUUCCUUCUAGGUUUCCUUUUAUUCCCGUGGUGAACUGUAG
rnacentral:lncRNA from 1 species